rnacentral:rRNA from 1 species
GACGAACGCUGGCGGCGUGCUUAACACAUGCAAGUCGAACGGGAGUACUUUGAAAGCUUGCUGAUAAGUACUUUAGUGGCGGACGGGUGAGUAACGCGUGAGGAGCUGUCUUAUGCAGGGGGACAACAGUUGGAAACGGCUGCUAAUACCCCAUAAGCCGAGAGGUAAAAGGAGCAAUCCGGCAGAGGAGGUACUCGCGUCCUAUCAGCUAGUAGGUUGGGUAACGGCCGACCUAGGCGAAGACGGGUAGCCGGCCUGAGAGGGCGAACGGCCACACUGGAACUGAGACACGGUCCAGACUCCUACGGGAGGCAGCAGUGAGGAAUCUUGCGCAAUGGGGGAAACCCUGACGCAGCAACGCCGCGUGAGUGAGGAAGGCCUUCGGGUCGUAAAGCUCUGUCAGAUGGGAAGAAAUGGGUGGGGGCGUAAGUAUCGGCCCAUCCUUGACGGUACCAUCAGAGGAAGCACCGGCUAACUCCGUG